rnacentral:rRNA from 1 species
UGGUGCAUGGCCGUUCUUAGUUGGUGGAGUGAUUUGUCUGGUUUAUUCCGAUAACGAGCGAGACUCUAGCCUAUUAAAUAGUCAACGGAUAAACGCGUCCGUGUCGACUUCUUAGAGGGACAAGCGGUGUUCAGCCGCAUGAAGUUGAGCAAUAACAGGUCUGUGAUGCCCUUAGAUG